rnacentral:lncRNA from 1 species
GUGGGCGGGGCUGGGGGCGGGGCCUGCGGCUGACCUGUCACUCACGGUAGGCCCGCGGCCACCGCCCUCACCCCUCCCACGUGGUUAGAGACGGCUGUGCUCGCAGCAAGCGAUUCCACAACUGCGUGUGCGGAUUUCUUACCCGUUAUUGAAUACGAACCUAGUGCUUAAGCGCGAUUCCAGGCGCUGGGGGCACAGUGGCGACCACGACAGUCAAGAUCCCUGCCCUAAUGGAGUUCUCAGGCUGGUGGGGGAAACAAAAUAUAAUAACUGCCAGUUUGUAAGGAGAGCUAAGACGAAAAAAGCAGGGUGAUGGAAAAGAGAAUGCCUGUGUGGUCAGGGAAGGCCUCCCUGAGGAGCCAUGAGGGAAGAACCUGCCUGGAAGGAAGCCGUUACAGAAGACAGCAAUGCCGUGACGGAGAGAGACGCUAGAAUCCAGUGAUGCCGUGUGAGCUUCCGGAUCAGGCUAAAGCGAGACAUACCCCUGGAAUGUUACAUGGCAUUAGGAAAAAAAAAAUUCCAUUUUUUUGCUCACUUUCAGUUGGCUUUUCUGUCACGUGCAAUUAAAAUAAUCCUGAAGGAGGCAGGCAUUACUUGAAUCCUUCUAACAGCUCCUCUAACAAGCUCGCUACAAGGUCAGGAGGCCAGAAUUCAGUAAGCUUUUCCCAGUUGAAUGUGCUUGUCCCUCACAUGCGAUAUAUGGUGGUUCUUUCAACGACGUUAAGAAGAAUGUUUUCGGCAUCAUAUUUCAUUUUGUUCUGUACAUUUUUAAAAUAUCAUUAAAUAGUUCUGUUUACAAAGAACGAAA